AGCAGCAUGGCGCAGUGGUAGCGCGCGGGGCCCAUAUAGAACCAUAUCUGGUUGUCACCCCGAGGUCACUUGAUCGAAACAAGUUGCUGCUA